UAUACUUUCUUGAAUUACCUCCAUACAGUUUCUUAUUUGCACAGACAAACAAAUAUGUCGAAGUUUUUUUCCCUUCUUCAACUCUUAUUCCUUCUUGCACUACUUCUUGUCAAUCCUUCCAAUGCGGCCAGAGGUCGUGAUCUUGAUAAGCCGAGAAGUACCCCGCCGGCACCGAUCCCUGGCCGAACUCAUCACCCGUAAAGAAUGGCUAAAACUGCGUGAAGAACUUAGACAACUUGAGUCAUUCUUCUAUUGUAUCUCUUUGUUGAUCUAAACUUCUUUUGUAAUUGGGAUCAGUAACCACUACUGUCCAUCUUCAUAUGUCAAUGUGUUGUUUUGCUAUAUAUGGUUGGAUAUAGAUGAAAUAAAUUGGAAUAAUGAUACCUUGAAA